rnacentral:rRNA from 1 species
UAAGGAAUAUUGGGCAAUGGACGCAAGUCUGACCCAGCCAUGCCGCGUGAAGGAAGACGGCCCUAUGGGUUGUAAACUUCUUUUCUCAGGGGGUAAACUCCGGAACGUGUUCCGGACUGAAAGUACCUGAGGAAUAAGCAUCGGCUAACUCCGUGCCAGCAGCCGCGGUAAUACGGAGGAUGCGAGCGUUAUCCGGAUUCAUUGGGUUUAAAGGGUGCGCAGGCGGAUAUAUAAGUCGGAGGUGAAAUUCUGAUGCUCAACAUCAGCCGUGCCUUCGAUACUGUAUAUCUAGAGUCAAGUUGGAGUAGGCGGAAUGUGUUGUGUAGCGGUGAAAUGCUUAGAUAUAACACAGAACACCGAUCGCGAAGGCAGCUUACUAAACUUUGACUGACGCUCAUGCACGAAAGCGUGGGGAUCAAACA